GCUUGCAACAUAGCUUAAUGCAUUAGAUCCCAUUAGAACUCAGCAGUUAAGUGCACUCGAGCUAGAGUAAUAUUGGGAUGGAUGACCGCCUGGGAAGUCCUGGUGUUUUACAUGCC
rnacentral:rRNA from 1 species